rnacentral:rRNA from 1 species
GACGAACGCUGGCGGCGUGCUUAACACAUGCAAGUCGAACGGAAAGGCCCUGCUUUUGUGGGGUGCUCGAGUGGCGAACGGGUGAGUAACACGUGAGUAACCUGCCCUUGACUUUGGGAUAACUUCAGGAAACUGGGGCUAAUACCGGAUAUGAUCUCCUGCUGCAUGGGGGGGGUUGGAAAGUUUCGGCGGUUGGGGCUGGACUCGCGGCUUAUCAGCUUCUUUGUGUGGUAGUGGCUUACCAAGGCUUUGACGGGUAGCCGGCCUGAGAGGGUGGACGGGGACAUUGGGACUGAGGGAGGGAGCAGACGCCUACGGGCGGCAGCAGGGGAGAAUAUGGCGCAAUGGGGGGAAGCCUGAGGCGGCAGCGCUGCGAGCGGGAUGACGGCCUACGGGUGGUGAACCGCUGUGGCCGGUGACGAAGCGUGAGUGACGGUAAUGGGUAAAGAAGCACCGGCUAACUACGUG